rnacentral:rRNA from 1 species
AGAGUUUGAUCCUGGCUCAGAUUGAACGCUGGCGGAAUGCUUUACACAUGCAAGUCGAACGGCAGCACGGGGGCAACCCUGGUGGCGAGUGGCGAACGGGUGAGUAAUACAUCGGAACGUGCCCAGUCGUGGGGGAUAACGUAGCGAAAGCUACGCUAGUACCGCAUACGAACUCUGGUUGAAAGCGGGGGAUCGCAAGACCUCGCGCGAUUGGAGCGGCCGAUGGCAGAUUAGGUAGUUGGUGGGGUAAAGGCCUACCAAGCCGACGAUCUGUAGCUGGUCUGAGAGGACGACCAGCCACACUGGGACUGAGACACGGCCCAGACUCCUACGGGAGGCAGCAGUGGGGAAUUUUGGACAAUGGGCGCAAGCCUGAUCCAGCCAUUCCGCGUGCAGGAUGAAGGCCCUCGGGUUGUAAACUGCUUUUGUACGGAACGAAAAGGCCUGGGCUAAUACCCCGGGCUCAUGACGGUACCGUAAGAAUAAGCACCGGCUAACUACGUGCCAGCAGCCGCGGUAAUUC